ensembl:lncRNA
GAGAGAGGGGAGGAAAAAAAGAAAGAAUCUCCAAAAGAGGAAGGUUUGUAAGGCAGUAGGCUAGGCUAUUAUCUGCUGCACUGCCUGCAUUUCAUCAGUGGAAAUUGCUUCUUAUUUGUGAAACAGCUGCCACAUUUCACUCCAGAGGUGGUGAGUUUUUGUAAGUGUGCACACACAAUAAUGGGUUUUGAUUUCCACAAAUAAAAUCCUGUCCUGGCUCUGAAAUGUAAGCAUUUUGGAUGCUAAGUGAAAACAACACCGUUCCUUUGCGCUGAAGAAGAACAGCAGUCCCUUUCCACUGUAACUUUCUGAAGAUGGAGAAUGUUUCCUUUUCCUCUCCUUCUGUUUUGCCAUGAAUACACAAGCACCCAGUAAGUCAUCCUCCCUCUGCUUGGCACAGAAAAUUCCCAACGACGUGAGCUUGAAGGGUUGCCCAGGUGGGAAGAAAUCUUUGCAGAUGUGAUUGUAAUUUCCUUAGUUUGGUUGUGGAAACCCAACCUGCUUUACAAGCUUUGCACAUUACUCCAAGCUGUUUUCCUUACCCUGUCAUGAACGUUACGUUUUUCUCCUGCUUUACGUAAGUUGCAUACAAGUUACUUUUGCAAAGCUAACUUUCCAAUCUAGCUGGCAAAUAAUUUUUCAUUGCAGCUCCUCAAUUUUUCACACAUCAUGGACCUUACGGGGAAAUCAAUGGGAAUGCAGCACCUCCGUUAGGCGAGCUCUGCCUUAAAGGCAUUGCAAAGCAUAAUAAAUCAUUUUAGCUCUCACACAGUUUCAACUCAUCUUGUGUUCUUGACGCAGUUUGUUGCCUCUGGAUAUACUGCAGGACAGAGCGAGCUGGGUAAGCCGGGAAGAUGGGGUGACGAGGUAAAGAAUUUAGAGGACAUGUACACAGAGAGAGAGAGGAUGUCCAUGGGAGCCACGGAGCAGCCACUACAGAGUGAAUAAAAUCAAACAGCAGGAAAGUAGACAAGGUAUGUUCUGUUCCUGGCACUGAAGUUGAUCUCUGGAAUGAUCUUGGACAAGGUACUUGAUUUACUUGGCUGUCACUUCUCUUGCACAGUAUUGGAAACUUCAUUUGUUGUUGCUGCUGAAUGGUUUUUAGGUGGAGCCCCAAUGGCACACUGCUCGUGGGGAGCACACACACAGCUGGGUGCCUGCUGCUGGGUUCUCUCCUGCAGGAUGUCUCCUGAGAUUCUGCUAUAAGAAGUUGAGUCUUUUAUCUGUGUAUUUUAAGCGUUACCCUUUCUGCUGAAAAAACUGUAACAGCGAUAAUAAAUCUGCAAGAUGCUCAGAAUUCUGUGGAUAUACAAGUAUUUAUAUAUGCUAGCAUCAUGUUUUAAAUUUACUUGAAUGUUCAAAGUACAAUCUGAGAUUGUCAUGCACACUUGGUUACUGUAGUAAGCUGUGUGCUU